UACGGAGGAUGCAAGCGUUAUCCGGAUUUAUUGGGCGUAAAGCGUCCGCAGGUGGUUUUCCAAGUCUGCUGUUAAAGCGCGAGGCUUAACCUCGUACAGGCAGUGGAAACUGGAUGACUAGAGUGCGGUAGGGGAGACUGGAAUUCCUGGUGUAGCGGUGAAAUGCGCAGAUAUCAGGAGGAACACCGGUGGCGAAGGCGGGUCUCUGGGCCGUAACUGACGCUGAGGAGCGAAAGCGUGGGGAGCAAACAGG
rnacentral:rRNA from 1 species